AGAAGGAGGAGGCAGAAAGGAAGUGGAGUGACACAUCUGCUCCACUGCCCUUCACUCAGGGCCCCACUCUGCACCACUGGAGAAUGAGGAAAGACCGUGCUGAAGAUACCAUUUUCUCAAGUUUGUGUUCUUUGUUUUGGUGCACACCAAAACCUUGAGAUGUACUCCAAAUCACCACUAAUGAAACAUCCAUACAAAGCAAGAGAGACCAACAUCUGCCCUUGAAAAAAUGCUUCCAAAUGCCCAUCGCAUCUAGGGACUGAAGGCAGACCUGAUCAGCUCACAUACAGGUGUUUGACAUCUACUGAGAUGUCCUGAAGUGUAUUAGACAUGGCAUAAAAUCACUGGGAGAUCUGCAGCUUCUGGAGUGACAAUUACGUGUUGGUUGGGAUGAUGUGCCAUAGCCAGAACAACAUGAACUGUCUAAACUAAGUCAUCUUCCUGCAGUGAGAUGUGUAAGCUUCCAGCAAGGGAAAAAGAAGAAAAUGUGGAAGACCAGAUGUGCAAACUUCACCUCAGUGUGAAAGAACCAGAGCCUGUCCUUUUAAUUCCAGUUCAACCCAUGCAUGAUGAGUCAGAUUCUGUGCAUAUGCAAGUCAUCUGUAGAACAUAUGUACCAUGAAACCACCACAUCCAGCCUGCAUUAACCUUCCCUUUCUAAUGCAGCAGAGCUGGGAUUUGACCUGGGAUUUGACAUUCUGAAGCUGUUCUGGUGGAAAGUCCUAACUAAAUGGUCAAAAUUUCCCUUUCCCCUCUGGAUGAAACCUCAGAGCAUCAGAAGACAGCAUCUUCAUGGAAAGUGGAGCUGUCAUAGUGUUACAGAAUUGUCUUGGUUGUCAGGGAUCAAGUGGUGGAAUAAACAACAUAGAGGAUUGCUUCUUCUCCAACUGUAAAGCUUCUACGUGGGAUGAAGGUUGUAUGUCUUCUAACACACCCUGGUGGCUUGCAAAUUGGUGUCCUUUCAGGAUAUGUCUGAUUACCCAUAACUUUGGAUCAUGAGGCAAAAAACGCACCAGAACUGCCAGCAAUGCAAAUCCUCUGCUAGGCAAGGAAUGGCAGCAUGAUGUCUGAGGGGUCUGCAACACAAAAUGUCUGCGCUCUGUGACUUCAGCUUUAAAACGACAGCAGAAAAAUCAGUCCAUCUUGACCCAAUCAGUUCAGGAAUGAACUGAAACAUUUUUGCAAUAUAGCUCUCCCUCUGCGCUAUGAUUCAUACGACUAUGAAUCUCCUUAUGCAUGCUAGGACGAGGCAGCUCUGUCAGCAAUGUCAGAAUUAGUAGCAGUUGCAGGAAGAAGGGAUAAAUGUGCAUUAGCUCAACCACAAGUCAUUGGUAACAUUCCUCCAGAGGAACACAGGAACUGGUCCAUGACAUCCAGUGCUCUGCUAUCACAGCAAUAUGAUACCUAUAAUCAGUUUAUUAAGCUGCAUCUUAGAAAUGUACUCACAUAGUGGGGAUAAUUCCUUCCAUUCCGGGAAUCACUGGGUAAAGUUUCUAGACUGAGUUAAGAAAGGUCAGGUUAGAUUAUCACAGAGUGUCUGCUGGCUUCCACGUCUCAAAAUCUCCGUAGGGAUUUAGAAGGAGCCAACACAUUUUCACUUGUAAGUGAGGAUUUAAAUAGAGGUUUGUUAAUGCGUUCCUCUCUCUUUCUCUCCCUUUCAUCUGCAUGUCAGUUGAUCAACAUCAAUACAGAAAUAUUUCUCUUUCUUUCCCUUCCUUUCCUUCUUACUGCCUGCUCUCUAUCUCUUCUUCUUUUGUCUUUCAGAACUGAGAACACAGGAAAAAAAAAUAAGGAGCCACAAUAGGGAAAGCAAUACAAUUCCACAGCCUCCUUGCCUGCCCCCCCCCCACCCCACCCCAAAUUCCACUCCUACCAAACUCCAGAAGAUUAAAUAUUUCAUUAUGAAGCAAAAAGCAGAAAAAUGGCAGGUCUGAAGUGUAGUUCUUACUAGUACUUUCCUGAGCAGUCUGUACAUCACUGCUCUCCUACAGAGCCAGCAGUUCUCUUGGGGAGGUGUGAAAGCAUGGAGAGGCUGGGCAGGGAUAAGAAGUGACGUUGGGUUUUGUUGCAUGUAUCAAAGAGCAACCCACAUUGCUAAGGUGCCUUGGAGGUGCUUAGCUAUUCAUAUGGGUACCAUUUCCUCUCUCUAUUGGAAAUAAUAUCUGGGUAUGGAAAAUCAUAGAUGGAUAUGGAUAAACUUUCUCUUAAACUAAAUGAAGAUCUGGAGGGCUCACAGGUACCUUCACAAACAGCCUCUGAGGACUGAGAGAAGGCAAAGCUGCACCAGCUUCAUCUAUGUGGUGCAGUAGCACUGUGAGACAUAUAUUUGGGCAUAAAUAUGGGAUAUUGAUAAGACAUGCACAGUUCUCAUUGAUGAGUGCUAAGCUGUCUCUGCUGAAAAUCAGGUACCUUAAAGUGAUUGCGAUUUUGUGUUCUGAAAUGAGCUAAAUUUCUUACUCAUGUUCAUAUUGGGAAAAGCUUAAUACCUUCGGUCUGAUGCCAGUGACUGUAUUGAGCAACCUGGCAAAGGCUCACGGUAAAAAAAGUCAAAGCCUUCAAAGAUAAAAACAACAACACCACCAAUAAUAAUACAGACUUCCAUAUGAAUAGUGGUGCCACCAAUUAACAAUAAGGCACUGGCCAUGGGGUGCUGUGAUUCUGUGAGGCAUCUUGUUGGUCUCAUCUGAUUUGUUCAUCAGAUUAGCCAGUCACUCUAUGCCUGAGCACCAAGUUCUUCUUUGCUUGCCCUCAAGUUAAGUUAUUAUUGAGGUCAGCAGAGGUAUACUGACUCAAGCCAAGUGAGAAUCUGGCACAGCAGUGCCUCAUACUACAGCUGUAUUUUCCAUGAUUUCCCUUUUUUGGGGUUUUCAACAGAAACUGCAAGUUUCAAAAGAGAAGGAAAAGUUACUUUCCAUGAAAAACUAAUGAUUCAGCAUCUUACAGGCAGACGGACAGAUAGAGAGACAGAAAACAUGGCUGAAAGAAGACAUAUCAGCUUCGGUUGAUUAUCUGUCAGAACUUUUCUCUGUCCUAAAUCUAUUCUUGGUCAUAUGAUGCAAACAUGAUGAACUGACUCUGAUGAACUGCUUGCCACAGAAGCCAAAGGAAGACAAAUCCCUGUUGCAGAUUUUAAGGUGAAUUCUCUAAACGUUAGGCUACAGCGUCAGCCUCAGCCUCGUUUUUCCUGCUCCAGGUAAACCUUUCCUUCUUUUCACUGCACAGCUACACCUGGUGUGAAGGGACAGAGAAAUAACUUCUUUUCUUUCUUUUUGUCUUUGUGCUUGGACUGUACUUUUUAAUCUUCCGUGUUGGUCUGGGAGCUGGAACCAGCUUUCUUGCUUUUCCAGUGACAGACCCAAAGACUACAGUUUGAUAUAUUAUGAUCACUUCCCCUUCACUUCCUCUGGUCACCCUCUAGAAGGCAGCAGUCUUUUCUGCUAACCUUCACAGAUACUGAUCAAAGUAUGAGCUCAUCCUGUGGACCAAGCCCUCCAAGGGGUUUGUACCCUGCAGGCAUCAGAUGGACCAUGGUGCGACUUCUGAGUCAGCAAGGAAGAUGGCAGCAUCUGGACAAUAAAUUUUACCGUGGUAGCUUUUGAUGUGAGUAUCAGAAAGACUUGACCCACUCAAGGGGAAACUCUUCACUGGGGAGAGGAUUAUGAGUUACUCAUGUACUGCUCUUUGAUAUGAAGCACAAUUAAAUUGUGAUAU
ensembl:lncRNA